rnacentral:lncRNA from 1 species
GCAUUAGAAACAUUCAAAGGCAGUAGGCAGUACAACCUCAUUAAAAUUGGGCACUUAUGCUCAAAAUAUGUGAUCCAUAUGGAGGAAUGUGUUAAAUGGUUAGAACAUGGAGAAGACUAUAAAAGUACUUGGGCUCCCUCCCCUUUGUGAACUAGAUAACUUCAUUUGAUUACUAUUAGUUGUUAGUUCAGUUAGAAAGCAAUUGAUAAUU